GGUCCCUUCGUCUAGCGGCCCAGGAUGUCGGGUUCUCAGCCCGUUGACAUGAGUUCGAAUCUCAUAGGGACUGCCA
rnacentral:tRNA from 1 species